rnacentral:rRNA from 1 species
GAUGAACGCUGGCGGCGUGCCUAAUACAUGCAAGUCGAGCGAACAGACGAGGAGCUUGCUCCUCUGACGUUAGCGGCGGACGGGUGAGUAACACGUGGAUAACCUACCUAUAAGACUGGGAUAACUUCGGGAAACCGGAGCUAAUACCGGAUAAUAUAUUAAACCGCAUGGUUCAAUAGUGAAAGACGGUUUUGCUGUCACUUAUAGAUGUAUCCGCGCCGCAUUAGCUAGUUGGUAAGGUAACGGCUUACCAAGGCAACGAUGCGUAGCCGACCUGAGAGGGUGAUCGGCCACACUGGAACUGAGACACGGUCCAGACUCCUACGGGAGGCAGCAGUAGGGAAUCUUCCGCAAUGGGCGAAAGCCUGACGGAGCAACGCCGCGUGAGUGAUGAAGGUCUUCGGAUCGUAAAACUCUGUUAUUAGGGAAGAACAAAUGUGUAAGUAACUAUGCACGUCUUGACGGUACCUAAUCAGAAAGCCACGGCUAACUACGUG